rnacentral:rRNA from 1 species
UACGUAGGGAGCGAGCGUUAUCCGGAUUUAUUGGGUGUAAAGGGUGCGUAGACGGGAAAUUAAGUUAGUUGUGAAAUCCCCAGGCUCAACUUGGGAACUGCAACUAAAACUGGUUUUCUUGAGUGUCGGAGAGGAAAGUGGAAUUCCUAGUGUAGCGGUGAAAUGCGUAGAUAUUAGGAGGAACACCAGUGGCGAAGGCGACUUUCUGGACGAUAACUGACGUUGAGGCACGAAAGUGUGGGGAG